GUCAAAUCAUCAUGCCCCUUAUGACCUGGGCUACACACGUGCUACAAUGGACGGUACAAACGGUUGCCAACCCGCGAGGGGGAGCUAAUCCCAAAAAGCCGGUCGUAGUCCGGAUCGGAGUCUGCAACUCGACUCCGUGAAGUCGGAAUCGCUAGUAAUCGCGGAUCAGCAAUGCCGCGGUGAAUACGUUCCCGGGUCUU
rnacentral:rRNA from 1 species